rnacentral:lncRNA from 1 species
CCGGCGGCUUGCGCGGCGGCGAGCCGAGGCCGCGGAGGCCGCGCCAGCGGGAAGGCGCAGCCGCUCCGCGCGGGGGGCCGGGGCCGAGGCGGCCGGCAGCGCGGCGAGGCUCCAGGGCGCCGGGCCGCCGCAGCUCUGAGGCGAGGGCGCCGCGGGCGGCUGCCGGCCGUGCCCGCCGCUGCCGCCCUCGCCGUUCAGCCUGCGCGGCGCCUUCUUCUCCUCAGCGCGGCCCUUCUUGGCGGACACAGGGCCCGGCGCGUCCCGGGAGGCGGGCUGCAGCUUGCCGCACGGCUCCCUCUCCGCGGCCGCGGCGGCGGCGCCGUGCGCGGGGCCCGGCGGCUCCGCCAUCUUGCGCUCCCGUUGUAUUUACUCGCUCGGCUCCGGGCGCGGGCCGGGGCGGGGCGCGGUGGGGCGGGGCGGGGCGUCGUCCGGCCUCCGCGGGCCGCCGCGCUGAGGGACCCUUCCAGCAGCCAAUCGGAGCGCGCGUCUCGAGCCCAAGGGGCGGGGCCGCCCGGCGCCCCCGCGCUGGAGGUCACGGCGCGGCGGGGCGCGGCCAUGGCCCGGCGCGCCGCGGGGGAGGUUCUCCGCUUGUCGCCCGAGAGGCCCGGGAAGAUCUCCCCCCAGAGGCGGCCCCGGCCCGGGAGGCGCUCAUCUCCGCCUGGACCGCUUCGUCCUGCAUCCCUUUCUCUUCCUGUUACCCUGGGGUCCCCUGGGUCCCUGCCUGCCUCUUCGCGCUCCGAAAGCCGAGUUUCGCAGAUACUCAGCUCGGAGGAGGACGUUCUGCCGGGAAGUAGGUGCUUUCUUGUUAAGCGGCGGUCGAUCGAUGGGAGGGGCCAGAAGUCGCUAGGUGUCCGGACAAGAUUGUCACUGUCGCUGAGAUCGUCAGCUCUAGUGCUUGGAGGCGGGUGACUUCCUGCAAGCUUAGAACUUUGGGAUUACUUCCGAGCUUGAAGUGUGACUUGAUGAACAACGUGUCGGUCUGCACCCAGGAUCCAAACCUGCAAACCCUGGGCCACCGAAGCAGAGUGCACAAACUUAACCACUAUGCCACUGGGCCGGACCCCAAGGACUGGCGCAGCCCCGCCCCCAGACCAAGCCUGGAAGGAAAUUCGCCUUUGGCUAAGAAUUCAGUCAAGCCCUUGAAGACAGUGAUUUCCGAGUUCCUCAUGGGUCUUCCUGUAAUUAAGGGAGUGGCCGUCUUAAAUGGAGUCACAGGGAGAGGAAGAGUGUGGGAUCUUCUACCAGAGAAAUGACUUGGUCUUGAAAGGAAGUCCAUGAGGUGGGGACAGUCAAGGCAGAGACCUUCUGGCAUGCGCAGCAGUGUGCCUGCCGCCUGAGACUUGCCCACACGCAGAAGCAAAAGCAAGGGCAACUCGUGCACAAGGCAUGUGAAGCCGACUGAAGCUGCGAAGCUUGAACUCUGGUUCUUGUGGCAGGCCUGCCCCUGCACCUGCCACCUGCUCGGGCGUGGGUGGGGACAGCUGCUUCCUGGAGCUGCCGUGCCCUACGGGAUGGAGCUGGGCCAGGAGCUGAGAAGCCACGCGCAGGGGUCAGGCAGGGACGCCGGGACCGAGCUCUCUCUAGCGUGUACCAGAAAUCCGCUUAGCGGAGCCCAGGCUGCCCGUGUCUACACAGUGAGGAACCCAGGCUCCGCGCAGGGGCGCUACUCCCCCUCAGGGCAGCCCGCGCCCUGUUUGUGCUGCCCUGGCUGUGACCAGGUUCUUUCUUUCGCUGAGCCGCACAUUUUCCUCUCUUACCUGGCCCGUUCGUCCUACGUCCUCUUACUCUAGAAUCUCAGAAAUAAGGCUAAUCCCUUUUGUUGGGAUUUUAAAGUUUAAUUUACUUGGGAAUGGCUGCCUGGGUUACUUCUAAUCUUUUAAGCUGUUGCAAGAAAGCAUGAAGCAGUGGCAAGAGAUCCACUUAGUAGAUGCAGUGGACAGAGUGCCCGCUGUGGAGGCAAGUUUUGUCUUAAGAUUUGCGGGUUCCUGCGGCCUGCCAGCGAGGCAGCUCGGCCUGCGCCUGCAGAAUGACCACCGUUACUCUCUCGGGUCUUAAAGGAAGCCGGGCCUCCAGGUGGGCAGGCGUCUGCUGUAAUAACAACAACAACCAGAAUAAUGAAAAGCCAGCUCGCUGCCCUGCUCCCUGCGCCUCCCCACUCCGGAGCGUUUGCCUGACUGGUGGAAUGGGCCCAGGACCUGCCUUUGAGGUCUCGGGUGUGACCUGGUGCUUCCAGCCCCGAGAUGCUCCGCUGGGUCCGCAGAAGGGAGUGGCUGUCCCCGCGGCCACACUGUCCCUCCGCGUGUUCCAUCCUGUGCGGCCCCUACCCGUGUUCUUCAGCAGCCGUUCCUCCCCCGGUUUUUCCUCUUCCUGCAAUGUCAUCCCUCAGCCAUGUGUGGCCACUCCACCAUUCUCUUCAUGUUUUUACAGCUUUCUAAAACAUGCCUUUAUUAUCAUUGUAAUGGGGUCUCUUGGGGGGAAAGAGAGAAAUAGGCACUGUCAGCCAGCCAACUCGAACCAGAAACAGUACAUAACAUGUAUAGUCAGUUGUACAAACUUAAAGAAAUUUGAAAAACAGAGAACAAUAAAAAUCUGUAAUUGUGUUACACUCACAGAAAUCUGUGCCUCCAUUUAUUUAUACAUUCAUUCCAGUCACCAGAUAUUAACUAAAUAUCUGUUAUGCUCUAAUCACCAUGCCUUCUAGGGAAUUGAAGUGUAGUAAGGGAAUCGUGGCCAGGUAGAAUAACCACUGAUAAUAUUUUGGUAUAUUUUCAUUGAAGCCUAAUGUUAUAGUUUUUUUUUUUUGAUAUAUUGCAGUUAUACUGUUUAUUCCGUCUGAUGUCCUUUCUUUUUCUUUUUUUAACUUACAGCACAGUGGGUGUGACAGGAGAGGGCAGAGCUGUUUAUUCCGGGCUCUUGCCCAUCAGGAGUAAGGUUCUGUCUAGCCUGAGUCUGGAGUGUACGCUGUUCCAUAGUUCACGUAGAGGCCGUUCCCUUUCUGCGUCACAGAGCCUGCCUCUGGCUCACCUGUCCCCACCUGACAGCUGGCCAUCGGUGCAGUGCAGGUGGGGGUACCACUCCCCGCCCAGCAGGCCUCAGGAAGGUGCUGGUGGAGCUCGCUCUCACCAGGACAGAGGCCAGGCAGGACGGGCGUCAGUGGGGAGAGGAUCCGCUCUGCCCUGGUCUGGAGCCUGCACAGUGCACAACAUGACCAGGGCCACGGGAGAGUCCCCUGUGGGUGUUUUCUCACCUCCUGACUCAACUCUUCCUCCUGCGUUGCCCACGGUCCUCUUCUACCCCUUCUCCUCCCGGAGUCCUGAUUUUCACAGAAGACGGCUUGUUUUUUUCUGGAACGCCACCUCUCCCUACAGAAAAAGAGGAGGCCUGGUGCGCUUGGUCCCUCUGUGUCUGCCGAUUCUGUAGGCUCAGACAGCCAUUCGGGGUCUAGCUUUAGCCCUCGCCUGGUUCCUGCUCUCUUUGUAGGUAUAAUCAUAUUUUCAUAUAACUAAACUAUGCGCCAGUAAUUUUUUUACUGCAGUGGUUUUUAGUGUAUU